CUUCCAGCUGUCACUCAAGUGACUCUCCCCUCAGUCCUGCCAGCCUCGCCGCCUGCCCGCCGUGGGGCGCGCUGCUGCUCCUUCCCGCGAGGGCCUUAACCACUUUAACAAAUACAACCAGAUCUUCUACAGGACCCCAGUGCCCAUCUGGACUCUGUUCUGCUGUGGAGAUAAUGUUCUAGACAUGAGCCGCUGCUCUUCAAAUGGCAGAAAGGUGUGUGUGAAUGCUACAUCUGAACAUCUGAAACAACAAUUCCACCAGCAUUCUCUAGUUUUUCAGGGAAAUCAGCACUAUAGAGUUAUUAAUCGAGUUUAUGGAAGUGGCUAAGCAUGAUUGAAAGGAUGCUUGCAAAUUGCUGGUGGCAUUCCUGACUCCUUUUGAAAGGGUUGCUGCCACUUUACCCCACUGAGCAUUCCUCUGGUACAUGAUUCAAAGGACGCAGGAGAUCUUGGACAGAUUGCUGGCAGCAGCUCUGAGUCUCCUCAGCCAAAGCAGAAGUGUGUUAUUCCUCAUUGAGGCAGAUUGCUGUCACAUAAGAGAGCCAGAGAGACAAGAUGUGGAUGCAUGAAUGUGAAUAGUCUGAGGAACAAAACAGGCCCAGGAAGGAUGCUGGUUUACCUUCAGUCACUCAAAAACAACCAACCAUGAAUUGAGUUUGUAAGGCUGAGGUAGUCUGAACUAAACCAAGUCUUUUUCAAUGCACCUGUUUUGGCAGGUGCAAUUUUUCUUGUUGUUUGUUUUUCCAAGUGUAUUUUCUUAAUUUGGGACAUUCUGGACAUGGUCUUUUUCCAUAGGCAGUUUUUGACAUUGCAGAAAGAGGAUGCAAGGUGCUCUUGUUGGUAUCUAACAGCUGGUCCUUCACCACUCCCCAGUGUCCCUGAGUGACCUGAGUGGAGAACUGAGGCAGAAGUUGUUGUCUCUCCCUUUCUGAAUGAACAUUACAAGAAGUGAACACUUGCUUAAAGCCCAGGCCUACUUCAUCCUUCAGUCAGGAAAUUUAGUCAUGACAGUGCUGAGUGAAAUUAUAUUUUUGGAACUGCCAGAAGAGCACAGAAUUUGCAUCUCUAGGCUAUCUUGUGGCUCACAGCUAUACAAAAUUUCUGACAUGGUGAGAGCACAAACUUAAAUCAGCCCACACAUUGUGUACAGGUAUACUCUAGGUGCAUCCUGUGUAUUGUUGUAGUAAUUGAAUACACCUUAGUUUAUCUUCUAUUUGUGACUACAUGGUCAUUAUUCCUCCUGAAAACUGGAAUAAUACCACUAUUUGAUCCCCCAAGACUGUUACCAUGCCAGAAAAUUCCUUGCAAAUACACAUUUUAACAGAUCUCAUUCUUAGUCAAUGGCAAAAUGGCAGCUACAGUUUUAUCCAAAAUUAAAGUGCUUAAUUCUUCCCUCCUUUUUGGAAGACCUUAUGCAUACUUGGAGGCUGUCAGUUUCCUGGGCAAUGUGUAGAUGUUCCAUACUGAUGAGAAAAGUUCAUGCUUGUUUUAGGUCACUUUUUUUCCCCUACGUGCUGUUUAAUGUUAAUGAUGUAAGUUGCUGUAUCAAAAUAUUAAAUAAUUGUAACCUGUAGAGGAAAGGAGUUUUAUUUUAACCUUAGAAAACUGUAUUUACAUGUUUUAGUACAUAUGAAUAAUGCAUCAAGUUAGGCACUAAGGUUAUUUUCAAAGUCAGACAUUUCAGGAUCAAGCUGUAGAAAACAAUAAAAGGGAGGAGUGGUUUCUUUCCUCUUGCUCUCCCUUUUUCUUUAAUUCACCAGGAUUCAGGCAUUAGCAUUGAAGUCAAAUGCCAUUAGGAUUUCUCACUAAACUUCAAAGCUUAAUUUCUUAGUCUCUGCUGGAAUAAAGAGAGGCAUAUAAACAGGCACAGUGGAAUCCAUUUAAAUGAGUUACUGUGAAAAAAAAGAAUGUUUCUAAGAAACAAAUGAUCUGUACAUUCUUUUAACAGAAAUCCUCCACGAGAGCCGUGGCUCAGGUGCAGCUGUGCCCCAUCCCCCGGGGAGGUGGGUGCUGUCCCAGCUCUGCCCUCGCUGCUGCAGGGUGGGGUCCUGGCCCUGUGCACCCCAAGGCAGUGCAGAGGCUCCAGGGUACUCCAGGCAGGGACAGACCUCCUGAUCCCUGUCUGGGGGAUGUGGGACCAACUGCCCAUGCAUGUGUUUUCCAGAACAUCAUUGUAAUAGGGUAAGUCAGCAUGGAAGAUUUGCUUUCUUUUCCAGCAUAUUUGAUGUUUCAUGAAGGAUGCAGUUGUACUGCAGACUGCUCCUUUAUAACCUCUCUCGUCAAAGAAAUGUUCUUGUCAUUAGCAAGGUGUUGCCUCUAAAUCA